ACCUGGUGGUCAGUCUUUAGGCUGCUGUACAGCUUGAUGGACCGUAGAGGAUUGAACAUUUAUCCUCCUAUAUUUGGGGUUCUGAGAAUAAAACAGCUUCAGAACAAUCAAUAUAGAAAUAUGUUUUUUGCAGUUCUACAAAUGUUCAAUAAUUGAUUGUUGAUAAUGAUGACGACUAUUGUAUACAUUACGAAUUUAUUUUGUAUCAUACUUUAUGUCAGAUUAAAUAGACAGACAUGCAACACAUUGCAUACAUACAUAGUGCAAUACACUUACAGACAGACAGUAUUCACAUAGACAACCAUAUAGCACAAUACAACACAAAAUGAGCCUGGUUCAUUUUCAGUAAUGAGGCCCUGUACCCAAUUUACAGUUUAUACUUCAAUGUCUCAGGUGGAGUUAUUCACCAGCUAUAGUGUUUGUUUCUAAGACUGCAGGGUGGGAGAUGCAACAAUGGCCUUGAGAACAGCAGGAAGUGUGUUGGUGGUCUUUCUCUGGUCUGUAGCAGACACUCCACAUCCCAACUCAGUUUCCCUCAGCCCAUCCCACCCAUCUCUGCUGGCCACAAUCUUUGGAUUUCUACACACCAUGUAUCUUUCAACUAUGCUGUGAUGUUUAACAUACAAUUUGAAUAGAUGUAAUCAAAUAGAAUCCACCGAUUGCGAGUUGAUUCGUAAGAGUAUUAGUAUGUUAGUAAUUGACUGACCAGGUCUCUC